rnacentral:rRNA from 1 species
UACGGAGGGUGCAAGCGUUAUCCGGAUUUACUGGGUUUAAAGGGUGCGUAGGUGGGUAGGUAAGUCAGUGGUGAAAUCUUCAAGCUUAACUUGGAAACUGCCAUUGAUACUAUUUAUCUUGAAUACUUUGGAGGUAAGCGGAAUAUGUCAUGUAGCGGUGAAAUGCUUAGAUAUGACAUAGAACACCAAUUGCGAAGGCAGCUUACUACACAGUAAUUGACACUGAGGCACGAAAGCGUGGGGAGCAAACAGG